rnacentral:rRNA from 1 species
GGGAGGUAGUGACAAUAAAUAACAAUACGGGGUUCUUUCGGAUUUCGUAAUUGGAAUGAGUACAAUUUAAAUCUCUUAACGAGGAACAAUUGGAGGGCAAGUCUGGUGCCAGCAGCCGCGGUAAUUCCAGCUUCAAUAGCGUAUAUUAAAGUUGUUGCAGUUAAAAAGCUCGUAGUUGAAUUUCGGGAUCAUCAGGUUGGUCGUGCCUCUGGUAUGUACUUUCCUCGAUGGUUCCUCCUUCUUGAAGAACCGUAAUGCCAUUAAUUUGGUGUUGCGGGGAAUCAGGACUGUUACUUUGAAAAAUUAGAGUGUUUAAAGCAGGCAAUCGCUUGAAUACAUUAGCAUGGAAUAAUGAAAUAGGACGUUCGAUCCUAUUUUGUUGGUUUCUAGGAUUGACGUAAUGAUUAAUAGGGAUAGUUGGG